AAGACUCACACCCCGACCUCCAUCUUUAAUCGCCUCCUGCUUUGGCUUUGCUCGUCCUCAGCUUCAAACCCAGCGUCGGUAACAAACAGGUCAGAUUUAAGAGAAAUGAACCGAACCACUCGGAAGGAAAAUUAUAAAAUCAAUCACCAAAGAUUUUAUUACUAUUACAAAACUAUACUACUACUCAGAGUGCAGUAGUAGCUUUAUAAAUAAAUAUAAAUGACUACUCCGUCUAGUUAUUCAUCUCAAUAAUAAUAAUAAUUAUCAUUGACAUGCACAAAAAAACACUAAACAUAAUAAUAAUCAUAUUAAUAAUAACAAUGUAUGUUUGAUUACUUUUAAUAUCUACUACUUCUAUUACAAAGGUAACUUAUACUUCUAUUUACUUAAACUAUAACUACUAAUGCAACUUCUACUACCACUACUUCUACUUCUACUACUACUACUAUAAUAAUAAUAAUAACAAAAAUAAUAAUAAUAAUAAUAAAACCACUAUGGCAAUUUAAUUUUAGAGCAUGUGCAACACAUUCAGUUCAAGUUCAUUAAUGAAACAUAAUGAACUUACAACAUUAUCACAAUUCUUAAGCAGUGAUCAGCAAAUUGUUUAACUUUUAAUUAAAGGCAACAACACUAACACAUAGAGUUGAUGACAGCAGUUUUAUUAAACAUCAUCCUGAAUUUAGGGGCAGCAUAAAGAACAGAAACAAAACAUAAGUCAAGAAAUAAUUAGAUUUACUUUCAAAAGUUUAACUGAUUUAGUGGAAAAGGAAUCUCUCUAGAUGGUUUUACUGUCAGACCCUUGAGUUACACUAGAAACACAUUUAGCCAUGAAAAGAGACAAAUUAAUUACAGUUCACUAUUGAUCAUCAUCAGUUUGCACAAUUGUACAACUACAAUGCACAUACCUACCUGAGCCCAUUCAAACAGCAUCGUCCACAAUUAUCAGCGUCACCGGAUAUCAAAAAUAAGAUUUAAACUGGAAUUCAAAAAUAACAUCUGAAGAGCCGUUUUUUACUUUGAAGAUCAAAAUCAAAAUAUCAUUUACUGUCCCUGGUGGAAAAAAUCUAUGUCUCCCACGACCACAGGUGGAUAAAAUCCAGCACCUUGCAGACGGCUUCAACAAAUAUUUGUUAACGUGUCAAAUGCACAAAGAACAGAGCAUAACAAUUAAUUAGAAACAAAAUGCAAAUAGAUGAAACUAUAUGACAUCACUGUUAAAACAAUAAAGAACUCAAGAAAACUUAAAUAAACAACAACAAAAAUGGUCAAAACACAUUCACCUGCCCUCUGACCUCAACCCAGAGUGUUGGCGUUCUCGUCCAACAUCAGUGUCUGACCUCACUGAUACUCCUCUGAAAGAAUGGUCAACAUUUCUCUUGAAGAUUGUGGAAAAUAUUCCAGGACGAGUUUAAGCUGUAAAAGUGAGGUCUGGUAUGAAAUCCUACAGAUUAAGAAGGAAAUGUUUCUCAUGUUCAGACCUGUGUAAAGGCAAAUGAUUGAAUUACUUGGCAGUAAAGUUAAUGUAUGGUUUCUUAAAUAUGUAAAAAAAAAAAGUACAUAUUUUUUUUCUAAAUAUGUAAAAAUAUUUAGAAAUUUUUUUAUGCUAAUGAAUACUUUAAAAACCUGAAACUGAAUUUCUCACGACCUAUGAAGUUUAAAUCACCUUUCUGAAACUUAAUGCAACUUAAGUAAUUCAGAGUAUGAACAUGAAAACAUGAAAUACCUGACAUCCCAAUGAAACUGGUGUGUAAACCAAUGUUUUUGUUCCCUUUGAAGUGAUUUGCAUCACCAGUUCUUGAAUUUUCUUAGAUUGGGCAGAAAAAGAGUAAAAAGCAACCAUAACGUUCAGCAUCGAUCAAUAGUUUAAGCUAUAUGAGAUAGUUUAGCUCCACGGAAACAAAAUAUAAACAAUCAAAGAUGAGUUAAUAUUUUUACACGGUAUCAGCACACUGUUUAUUCAUAAACAACUACCGUUGAUUUAUGAACAACAUAAAUCAGCUGUUUGCUUCAGGUAACAGAUUCUUUCAAUUUAUUAACAUUUUUAUCAGAUUUGGCUCCAUAACUUCAGAGAAGCGUAAUGCGACGUCUGCUCAUUUGGCUGCUGACACUUCGAGCCAAACAGCAGCUUUGAACAGGUACCAGCUAAUCUGGGAGCGAUCGCUCCAUCAGAGAAAAGCAUAAACCCAUAUCUCCAUCAGCUCAUUAGACAUUGUGAUUAAAAUCAACAUUCUCAGGCUCCGACCCGCUCAGAUCAAUACGAUUAAUCUCGGCAGACAUCUCGCGUUCACAACAACAAGCAGACGAUCGGGCGAUGAUUUCGCCCCGGAGCUUUGGACCUUCAGAGGGGAGAAUGUGGCGUGACUGAACAAGCAGGGCAGGGGCUCGUUUCACCCGCAGAGAGCAGCCUGGACGUGCACAGAGGGGCUCCUCCUGGGACAAAUCCACUCACACACACGCACUUUACAGACACAGUGACUUGCCAACAGAGUUGCCCUCAGAGUUUUAUCAUCCAAACAGGUUUAUGUCCCAACAGUGUGAGUUACACCAUGCAGGGCCACACACAGCAGCAGUCACUGAAGACCAGUCCAGGCCUGCUCUGAGCUACUCCCAGAAACCCAGCUAGCACCAUGACACACAAAAUGUCACAAACAAUGCAGCCAGGAAAAUUUCAGAAAGCUCUACCAAAAGAUGUAUUUUGUUUUUAUGUGCAGAAUGGUGUCAGAAUGACGCCAGCCGGUGACCAGGAACCUUUAGGCCAAGAAUGUCUUAUUUAUCAUUUGUAGUAAAUUUUGAUUUGGAUCCAGAUUAAAAAAUACGACACUAAUAAAACCACCAACUGAAUCCACUGAGUCAGGAUGACUUUCCCCAGACACUGAACGCCUCACUGGUGCACCUGCAAAAACAAAACAAUUUAGACCCCAACAUUUGUAAAAAAAAAA